rnacentral:snRNA from 1 species
GGAAGAAUCACUUGAGCCCAGGAAUUCAGGGUUGCAGUGAGAUGUGAUCACACCUCUGCAUGUCAACCUGGGCGACAGAG